rnacentral:rRNA from 1 species
UACGGGGGGGGGCAAGCGUUGUUCGGAAUUACUGGGCGUAAAGGGCUCGUAGGUGGCCAACUAAGUCAGACGUGAAAUCCCUCGGCUUAACCGGGGAACUGCGUCUGAUACUGGAUGGCUUGAGUUUGGGAGAGGGAUGCGGAAUUCCAGGUGUAGCGGUGAAAUGCGUAGAUAUCAGGAGGAACACCGGUGGCGAAGGCGCCACUCUGGGCCGAAACUGACGCUGAGGAGCGAAAGCGUGGGUAGCAAACAGG